GGACUACUAGGGUAUCUAAUCCUGUUUGAUCCCCACACUUUCGAGCCUCAGUGUCAGUUACAGUUUCGUCAGCUGCCUUCGCAAUCGGUGUUCUAUGACAUCUCUAUGUAUUUCACCACUACAUGUCAUAUUCCGCCAACGGCAUCUGUACUCAAGCCCUACAGUAUCAAUGGCAAUUCCACAGUUAAGCUGCGGGAUUUCACCACUGACUUAUAAGGCCACCUACGCUCCCUUUAAACCCAAUGAAUCCGGAUAACGCUCGCAUCCUUCGUCUUACCGCGGCUGCUGGCAC
rnacentral:rRNA from 2 species